AUGCUUUCACCCGCAGAAUUUACCCAGGUUGCAGUUACAUUGUGGGCGCUGUGGCACUCACGUCAUGAGGCGCUGCAUGAAAACAUCUUUCAGAGCCCUUUGUCUACGCAUCUUUUUAUCACCAAGUAUAUCAGAGAGAUCGAGGAUUGCACGCCCAAGGCGAGGCAAGGGACAGUGCACCCAAUCCCGGUGCAAACGCGGGCUAGAUGGAUACCGCCACCGCCGGGAGUGGCAAAGAUCAGAGUGGACGGGGCAACAACGAGAAACUCCCUGGAGGGUUCUUUCAGUGCUAUAUGCAGAGACGAAACAGGGUUUUUCUUAGGAGCCUCGGUGAUCAAGACACCAGGAGUGGCUGAUCCGGUGACUCUGGAAGCUCUGGCGUGCAGAGAGGCACUCGCCCUUGCAAUGGACUUGCAGAUCUCCAGGGUUGUUAUUGCUUCAGACUGCCAGGGAGUGAUCCGGAAUAUCGAAGAUGCCACAGGAGGGCACUACGCUGCUGUAAUCAAGGAGAUCAAUGAGACAACGAGAGAUUUUGAGUAAUGCACCUUCAUCUUCGAGGGUAGAUCGACAAAUAUCGAGGCACAUAGCCUUGCUAAACACGCUUUCGGACUAGAUUAUGGGCGCCAUUUGUGGCUUAUAAACCCACCAAAUAUCCAUUGUAUUCCUAUGAACUUUUAUGAUUAA
rnacentral:rRNA from 1 species